GAAAUGCGAUAAGUAAUGUGAAUUGCAGAAUUCAGUGAAUCAUCGAAUCUUUGAACGCACAUUGCGCCCGCCAGUAUUCUGGCGGGCAUGCCUGUCCGAGCGUCAUUUCAACCAUCAAGCCCCCGGGCUUGUGUUGGGGACCUGCGGCUGCCCGCAGGCCCUGAAAACCAGUGGCGGGCUCGCUGUCACACCGAGCGUAGUAGCAAUCACCUCGCUCAGGGCGUGCUGCGGGUUCCGGCCGUUAAACAGCCUUACAAAACCCAAGGUUGACCUCGGAUCAGGUAGGAAGACCCGCUGAACUUAAGU
rnacentral:misc_RNA from 1 species